AACCUUGCAUAGUGGCAAUAUCGUAAUCAAUGAAAUUCUACUGAGAUGCGAUUAUUGCUAGUUGAAAACUAUAACCUUCUAUUAAAUCCUUUUUAAAAAGAUAGUUCUAACUCACAGUAAGUUGC
rnacentral:snRNA from 13 species